rnacentral:rRNA from 1 species
UGCUUAACACAUGCAAGUCGAACGGAAAGGCCCUGCUUGCAGGGUACUCGAGUGGCGAACGGGUGAGUAACACGUGGGUGAUCUGCCCUGCACUUCGGGAUAAGCCUGGGAAACUGGGUCUAAUACCGGAUAGGAGCCAUUUUUAGUGUGAUGGUUGGAAAGUUUUUUCGGUGUAGGAUGAGCUCGCGGCCUAUCAGCUUGUUGGUGGGGUAAUGGCCUACCAAGGCGGCGACGGGUAGCCGGCCUGAGAGGGUGGACGGCCACAUUGGGACUGAGAUACGGCCCAGACUCCUACGGGAGGCAGCAGUGGGGAAUAUUGCACAAUGGGCGCAAGCCUGAUGCAGCGACGCCGCGUGGGGGAUGACGGCCUUCGGGUUGUAAACUCCUUUCGCUAGGGACGAAGCUUUUUGUGACGGUACCUAGAUAAGAAGCACCGGCUAACUACGUGCCAGCAGCCGCGGUAAUACGUAGGGUGCGAGCGUUGUCCGGAAUUACUGGGCGUAAAGGGCUCGUAGGUGGUUUGUCGCGUCGUCUGUGAAAUUCCGGGGCUUAACUCCGGGCGUGCAGGCGAUACGGGCAUAACUUGAGUACUGUAGGGGUAACUGGAAUUCCUGGUGUAGCGGUGAAAUGCGCAGAUAUCAGGAGGAACACCGAUGGCGAAGGCAGGUUACUGGGCAGUUACUGACGCUGAGGAGCGAAAGCAUGGGUAGCGAACAGGAUUAGAUACCCU